GUUACAAAAUACAAGUUUAAUUUCUCCCUCUAAUCCGUAUUUUUAAACGUAUAGCCUACUAUAAAAAAUGGAACUCGGAACAUCGAUGCCACGGUGUCAGACUCCACUAGGGCGGAAGGCCGCAGCGUCCGAUUCAAGUCGUUGAUUGGCUAAAGAAUUUACACCUUAUUUGAAGGCAAAUACUUGCAGACACCUCGGGGAGAAGCGCUCGUUCUGUGCAGUCUGGCGUUUUGUUUUCAUUCUCCGCUCAAAACCCCUUCUGACCACAUGAUGUUUAACGAGCGAAUAUGGACCGUUUUUAAACAGAACUGGCAGCAUACACUGACCUACUGGAGCGUGUUCUUCAGCUUCGGACUGUCCAUUAGCUUCCUCGGUCCCACAGUGCUUGACCUAAGGUGUCAGACGCAGUCCACCCUGCAGGAGAUCACCUGUGUGUUUUUCGCUCAGCAGUUCUUUUUGCUCGUCGGCAGUUCGGUUGGCGGACUCUUCAAGGAAACCCAAAAAUGUGCCCUGUCAGCCCUCUUCACCUGCACUUUGCUCAUCUCCGUGGUGUUUGCCAUCGUGCCCCUGUGCCACAGCCUCCUACUACUGGCCGUCGCCCUGGCGACAGGCGGGCUGGCUAUGGGCAUCAUCGAUACCAUCGCUAACUUUCAGCUGGUGAAGAUCUACCAGAAGGACUCCGCUGUAUUCCUGCAGGUUCUUCACUUCUUCAUUGGCCUGGGCGCCCUGGUGAGCCCCCUCAUUGCCGAGCCCUUCCUAUCAGAGACUAACUGCGUCCUGGGAGCGGCGAAUGCCACCAGCGAGCUUCGGCACCUGAGGAAAACCCUGGGCAGGAACACCGCUCACAACUGGUCCCACUACCACCUGCUUACGGAGGGCAUCGUGGUCACUCAGGUCGCCUACGCCUUCUGGAUCAUGGCCAUCAUCAGCCUGCCGGUGCCCUUGGUGGUCUUGGCUCUCCUGCACCGGGAGAGAGCUCUAUCCUGCUGCUGCAGGGCCAGGAGCCCCCGUCUGCUGGACCAGGAGGGCGUCGACAUGAAGACAUGGGCUGCAGGCCCGGGCGAGGAAGAGCCCAAAAACCUGCACACCGAGGGCCAUGGGGGUCUUUUUAGCUGCUGCCGGAACAAGCCGGUCCACACACUGUCCCCGUUCUCUACUGGAGUCCACAUCCUGGGUGGACUGGUCGUCUUCAUGACAGACGGCAUUAUAGGGGUGUAUUCGGUCUUUGUUUACAGCUACGCUGUGGACCCUCCCCUGGCUCUGAAGCACAAGACAGCGGGGUACCUGUCCAGCGUCUUCUGGGCGGCCAUCACCGUGGGGCGGCUGAUCUCUGUCCCCAUGUCCUGCAGGGUCCGGCCAGUCCAUAUGCUCAUCGGCAACCUGGCUGGCAUGGUCAUUACCACCUUGCUCCUCCUCCUCCUCCACACUCAUGGCAUGUUCCUGUUUGUGGGGACGUUUUUCCUGGGUCUAUUCCUCAGCAGCGUCUUCCCCUGCAUGCUGGCCUAUGCCGAGGACACCCUGGACUACCAAGGCUGCGUGACCACGUUCGUCGUGACGUGCGCUGGGUCGGGCGAGAUGGUCCUUCAGGUGGUCGUAGGCUCGGUAAGGUCCGCGACCUCGCUGAAGAUCAACGCAACGCCGCCGUCCUCCCAACUGCAACGCGCGGCUCACGCUCAAUUUCUCUGGCCCAUUUAACAGCUGGGCGCUCUAACUCCUGUCUGUUUAUAGCUGUGUAAUGUAACUGAAGCGACCGGAGGUUCAUGCACCGUACAGGCAGCUACAGCUUCCUCCUCUGUACCAUGGUCAUCGCCAGCGUCGGAUUCAUCCUCUUCUGUGUUCUACUGCUGUUCCGUCACAUGCACAGGUAGCGGUUAAGAAGGCACCCAGGAUGAAAACUUAAUGAUGGUGAGACGGUGAGAGGGAAGACGCAAUGAAACGGGCAGCACAAGAUGCAGGAGAGCUGAAGCAGUGUCACCUGUGCAGCAGACUCAAGUGUGGGGACACAGUGCCCCCUACUGUUAGGAGGAAACAUUGACAGACAUUCAUAUUAUAUUAUACAAUAUUUCAUCCUCUUUGUAAAUUUCAAUGUGCAAUUAUGACGUCUCACAUAAUUAACUUGGGAAUUCUUUUUUUUUUUUACGAUGAACAGCUUGUACAAGUACCACCUGCCCAAGGAAAAUUGUUUCUUACACUUAAUGUAAUGGAGUUUAGUGCAAUAUAUUAUUAAGUUUGUAAAAAUUGCAACACAGUAAAAUACAUCACCAAAUAUGCAACUUAUUCCUGAUUUCCGAUAUUCAACCAUAUUUUAAAAAAUACAUUGCAGUGGAAUCUCCUGUAUUUCACUAUAUUUAACAAAGCUGUCACACAUUUACAAUAUGUUGCAGCAUAAGAAAAAAGAUAUUAUCUUUUUGUGGACGGUCGAAGAUAAAUAUGCGGUAUAAUUUAUUUGAUGUAGAAUUAUCAUUUUCAUAAUAUUUUUCAAAGAAAACUAAAGCAUUGUAUUGAUAUUUCAAUGCAGGAUUACCAACGCUGCUUCAUUACACCAGUUGUUUCAGGGGUCUUUAUGGUGAAUUAAACAUUAGAGUGUUCUUAACUGAGAAUUCUAAUGCUGAUGUCACAGUCACUACUGGUGAUUGAAAGGAAUGUAUUUCUAGAACACUGACUAGAACACUUUCUAGAAAAAAUUAAAACUACUCUAAGGGUUAAAGCGUUUCUUUCUAGCAAAUACCAUUUUGCUUUCUGGAAGACCUUGUAUCUGAUAUUCAGACUGAUACACAGAGGACUGACAUACAGGGGAGCUGUGAGGAAGUAAACUUUCUGAGACAAAUAUCACCCUAUUCUCUGCCAGAUGCUGAUUGUGUGCAAGGUCAAUGAAGGGUGACACACCUGUUCCCUUAUUUUAUUCCAAUUUUUCAUCCCACAUCGGAAUGCCAGUCAUAACGUUCGGCUGAUCCCAGGUCACCAGUGACCUGUGAAGGCCAUUCGACAGCUGUGUGCCAGGUGUACGACCUGCUCAGUCUGUUUAGGGAAGACUCAUAUCAAACACAACUCUACUCCUGUAAAAGGCCGUUCUGGAAACAAAAUGCUUUUCUGAAGGGGAGCGGUCAGUGUAAUGUCAUUAACGGUUAUUAGCAUCUAUUGUUACAUUACAUUACAUUACAUGGCAUUUAGCAGACGCUCUUAUCCAGAGCGACGUACAACGAAGUGCAGAUCAAACAGCUCAUAACUAUAUCUCCAGUGAGGAUAAGACUUGAGUGCAAUCCUAGUUUAAGUGUGCCUAAAAUAUGCAAUGGUCCUAGCAGGUCCGUCUUAGAAAUGGAAGGCGGUUAUUUUAUUGUACCUCCCAAUGGGCUGUAUGUCGAGCACUUUAGUAAUAAAGGGUGAAUAUGC